rnacentral:lncRNA from 1 species
UAACAAAAAUCAAAUUAAGCACCCUUGACAUGAGUGAAUGUCACACACACACAAAGUUGGAUCACUGAUGCUGAAGAACAUGAAUUCUGCCAGAAUUUAUGACAAAUUGGCGAAGUAAAUUACACUUUUUGCUCGUUGUCAAGAAAGGUAAAAAUGCAGUUAAGCUCCAUUUCGUUUUAGAUUUAUAAAAAAUAAAAUUCAGGAAAAUAUGUAUUGGUAUAGAAGGAUUUUGUCCAGACUUUCCAUCCCCUUUAACAGAACUAGAUAGUCCUUUUGUCCGAAAUUGCCAAAACUAAUUAAUUUUCUUGAGACAUUUUUGUCAGCGAGACUUUACUAUGGACACGUGCAGUUUUGCAAACAUUGACUGGAGAAAGAGAUGUGACUAAAAACCAUGAAUAAUGCAACUAAAUCAUUGAUACAGAAUUGAUUUUUUUAUAAAUUGUUGGUUGGGUCAAACGGAUUCAACUAUCAAGUACCUGAUAUGCUGUGGAAGGUAAGCAGAGGGAUCAAUCUCAAAUCUUGGAACGAGAUCUGAAGCACCGAGUAUCAGAACAAUUCCAUCCCUCAUGACAGUGUAUAACAAUUCAGCAUCACAAGAAAAUGCAGCAUGGGCAAUCCGUGCACAGAAGUUUCCAACGACCCACUGAAAUUAUAGCAUACGUAAAUUGUAAAGUCACGUGUAUGACAGCAUCGAAGCACUUCUCUUCUAAACGUGUCAAAGAGAGGAAGAGACCUGCUUAACACACUGUAGUUUUGUUGUUUCGUAUAUUGCAAGUUGAGUCUCAUGUACAGCAAGAAAGUGUCUUUCAUCCUUGUCAAAUUGGACAUGAGUCUCCGAUAGUUCUGAAGGUAACCAACCGGAGGAAAUCUCUAAAAAUGUGUUGUUCUUUUUCUCCCACGUGAUUGAAUCCCAUACAACAAUCUGCAGAAUAAUGGAGGAAAAAUAGAUUAUUUAAAUAUGUUUACGACAACAAUCUUAAAGUUGGCAACCUCGAAAAAGUCGAUCAAUUGUAUCUCUCUACGUCAAGAUUGAUUUUAUUUUCAAACUUGGAAAAUGUAGUAUUCAUAGAACUGUAUGGUAUAAUAAACAAGAUUUUAGUUUCUUUUUUCUUAGUUCAUACAAUCUAGUACUAUACAAUUCUCCCUACCAAGCAAGCCAAUAGCGUCUAAAUAAUAUAUAUUUGACAACCUGAGUUCAUUUAAGCUGGUAAAUAAAUUAUUAUACUUGAAAACAUUUAUUGAUUCACAUUCAAAGGAGGAAUCUGGCUGUCCUUCUGCACGAUCAACCAAUAGAAUAUAUAGAAUACCAACCUGAGCAUCCAAUCCAGAAGAGACAAGUACAUUUAACACGGUUGAGAAAGAAAGGCUGCUAAUUCUCUUAGAAUGGCCCUUAAGCUUAUUUGUCAACUGCAAAAUGAAGGCAAUGGCUAAAUGCUGCACAUUUCUUCUUAAUCUUUCUAACUCUAAUAUAAGUGAAUGUUGGACACAUAUAUCAUACCUCGUCCACACGGACAUUAUAGAUGAGAAUUGUUGAAUCAUCCAUACCAAUAGCGAUUAUGUUGUUAUCAGGCGGAUAGAAAACAAUACAUGUUGCUGCAGGUGGGGAUUGCAUGAAACUUCUCAUUCUCUACAGUAAUCGAGCAAAUUGGAAAUGGUAGGUUAGUUAUUUCUAUAUGUCGAGCAUCCUAAAGUUCAAUGAUAUGAGAGCUCUAAGUUAGGUGCUACCCUGUGAAUUGAACAUAGAACAUUUUGCCAAUCUUUCACAAGCAUCCAAAGCAGCUACAACUUUUAGUAUUACCUUAAAAAUCAACAUGUUGAACAAAGAAACCAUCUUUCCAGAUGCUGAGACAACAUAAGAAUCAUUCUUGGACAAACAAAAGCACGGUGAGACUAAGUCGAUGUUACUUUCGGGAAGGUCAUUGAUCAUCAGCAACCCACUCUUUGGUUGCCACAGUUGAGGGACACACUUUGUAGUUGCCUGUUGCAGCAAAUACUCAGUUACUCUUUAAACAAUGACUGGCUGAUCAAAUCGAAGAUACAUAUAUACAAGCACUUGCAUAGGUGCAGAGAGAGAGAGAGAGAGAGAGAGGCUCAAAAUGCAUUCCAUUACAGCAAAACAGUUGAAUUUGAAUCUAUCCAAACUCAAAUCUCUUUAUACCAUUUUUUCUCACCAACUCCAACGUUUGUGUCUACACAACCAGUUCUUGAAUGCAUGCUCAAUUUCUUGAUAUCUUCAGACGUGUUCGGUGCAAGUACCUUUUUUCUCUCGCUAAACCUGUCCAAUAUUGUCUAAUCCAGCCUACCAAACAUGCCCUCAAUUUUCGAUCUGGAGGGGCGCAGUCCAUGUACUUUCAGAUUCCAUGGGUUCAAUGAUGACGACUCCACCAUCCGAUAACCCUAAGGCAAACUGGUUUGCCUUUUGUGGAUGAGCGGCAACCACCAGUGGAUAUACACGAGUUCUGCAUCCACCAUAACAAAAAUCAAAUUAAGCACCCUUGACAUGAGUGAAUGUCACACACACACAAAGUUGGAUCACUGAUGCUGAAGAACAUGAAUUCUGCCAGAAUUUAUGACAAAUUGGCGAAGUAAAUUACACUUUUUGCUCGUUGUCAAGAAAGGUAAAAAUGCAGUUAAGCUCCAUUUCGUUUUAGAUUUAUAAAAAAUAAAAUUCAGGAAAAUAUGUAUUGGUAUAGAAGGAUUUUGUCCAGACUUUCCAUCCCCUUUAACAGAACUAGAUAGUCCUUUUGUCCGAAAUUGCCAAAACUAAUUAAUUUUCUUGAGACAUUUUUGUCAGCGAGACUUUACUAUGGACACGUGCAGUUUUGCAAACAUUGACUGGAGAAAGAGAUGUGACUAAAAACCAUGAAUAAUGCAACUAAAUCAUUGAUACAGAAUUGAUUUUUUUAUAAAUUGUUGGUUGGGUCAAACGGAUUCAACUAUCAAGUACCUGAUAUGCUGUGGAAGGUAAGCAGAGGGAUCAAUCUCAAAUCUUGGAACGAGAUCUGAAGCACCGAGUAUCAGAACAAUUCCAUCCCUCAUGACAGUGUAUAACAAUUCAGCAUCACAAGAAAAUGCAGCAUGGGCAAUCCGUGCACAGAAGUUUCCAACGACCC